rnacentral:rRNA from 1 species
UGAUCCUGCUCAGAUUGAACGCUGGCGGCAGGCCUAACACAUGCAAGUCGAGCGGCAGCGGGAAAGUAGCUUGCUACUUUUGCCGGCGAGCGGCGGACGGGUGAGUAAUGCCUGGGAAAUUGCCCAGUCGAGGGGGAUAACAGUUGGAAACGACUGCUAAUACCGCAUACGCCCUACGGGGGAAAGCAGGGGACCUUCGGGCCUUGCGCGAUUGGAUAUGCCCAGGUGGGAUUAGCUUGUUGGUGAGGUAAUGGCUCACCAAGGCGACGAUCCCUAGCUGGUCUGAGAGGAUGAUCAGCCACACUGGAACUGAGACACGGUCCAGACUCCUACGGGAGGCAGCAGUGGGGAAUAUUGCACAAUGGGGGAAACCCUGAUGCAGCCAUGCCGCGUGUGUGAAGAAGGCCUUCGGGUUGUAAAGCACUUUCAGCGAGGAGGAAAGGUUGGUAGCUAAUAACUGCCAACUGUGACGUUACUCGCAGAAGAAGCACCGGCUAA